rnacentral:lncRNA from 1 species
GUGAUGAUUCCUUUCGAGUCAAUUCGAUGAUUCCUUUCAAGGGCCUUCAAUGAUUCCAUUCGAUUCCAUUCGAUGACGAUUCAUUUCAAGUCCAUUCAAUGGUUCCAUUCUGUUGAAUUUGAUGGUUCCAUUUGAUUCCAUUCGAUGAUGAUUCCAUUCGUGUCCAUUGGACGAUUCCAUUCGAUUCCUUUCGAGGAAGAUUCCAUUCGAAUCCAUUUGAUGAUUCCGUUCGAUUCCAUUCCAUGAUGAUUCCAUUUGAUUCCAUUCCAUGAUUCCAUUCGAUACCAUUCGAUGAUGAUUCCAUUCUACUCCAUUUGAUGAAUCCAUUCAAUGCUCCCAUUCGAGUCCAUUCGAGGAUUCCAUUCGAUUCCAUUCGAUGAAGAUUCCAUUCGAGUACAUUUGAUGAUUCCAUUUAAUUCCAUAGGAUGAUGAUUCUAUUAGGGUCCGUUGACUAUUCCAUUCAAUUGCAUUCGAAGAUUCCAUUCGAGUCCACUCAAUGAUUCUAUUUGAUUCCAUUUGAUAAUUCCAUUCGAUUCCAUUUGAUGUUGAGUCCAUUCGAGUCCAUUCUAUCAUUAUUACAUUUGAUUCUAUUCGAUGAUUCCAUUCGAUUCCAUUUGAUGAGGAUUCCAUUCGAGACCAUUUGAUGAUUGCAUUCAAUUCAUUUGAUGAUGAUUCCAUUCAAUUCCAUUGGAUGAUUCCAAUAUUUUCCAUUACAUGAUGAUUCCAUUCGAUUCCAUUCAAUGAUGAUUCCAUCAGAAUCCAUUCGAUGAUGACUCCUUUUGCUUCCAUUCAAUGAUCAUUACAUUCGGUUAUAUUCGAUGAUGAUUCCUUUGCAUUCCAUUCGAUGAUGCUUCCAUUCGAUUCCAUUUGAUGAUGAUUCUUUUCGAUUCCAUUUGAUGAUGAUUCCAUUUGAUUCCAUUCGAUGGUGAUUCCAUUUGAUGAUUCCAUUCGAUUGUAUUCGAUGAUGAUUCCACUCGAUUCUAUUUGAUGAUGACUGCAUUCGAUUCUAUUUGAUGAUUCCAUUUGAUUCCAUUCGAUGAUGAUUCUGAUCAAUUGCAUUCGAUGAUCCAUUCGAUUCCAUUUGAUGGUUCCAUUUGAUUCCAUUUGAUAAUGAUUCCUUUCGAGUCCAUUCGAUGGUUCCAUUUGCAGAGAUUCGGUAAUUCCAUUUGAGUCCAAUCGAUGAUUCCAUUCGAGACCAUUCAAUCAUUCUUUUUGAGUCCUUUCGAUAAAGAUUCCAUUUUCGUCCAUUCAAUAAUUCCACUGGAGUCCAUUCGAUGAUUGCUUUUAAUUCCAUUCGAUGAUAUUCCAUUCGAGUCCAUUCGAUGAUUCCAUUCGUUGCUAUUAGAUGAUGAUUCCAUUCAUGACCAUUUGGUGAUUCCAUUCGAUUUCAUUCGUUGAUGAUUCCAUUCGAGUCCAUUCCAUGAUUCCAUUCAAGUCCAUUUGAUGAUUUCUUUGAAUUCAAUUCGAUGAUGAUUCCAUUCGAGUCCAUUCGAUGAUUCCAUUCAGUUCCAUUCGAUGAUGAUUCCAUUCGUGUCCAUAUGAUGAUUCCAUUUGAUUUCAUUCGAUGAUGAUUCCAUUCGAUUCCAUUCGAUGAUUCCAUUCUAUUCCAUUCGAUGAUGAUUCCAUUCGAUUCCAUUCGAUGAUUCCAUUUGAUUCCAUUCGACGGUGAGCAAUUCGAUUCAAUUCCAUGAUGAUUCUAUUUGAUUCAAUUAGAUGAUGUUUCCAUUCGAAUCCAUUCCAUGAUUAUUCCAUUGGAAUCCAUUCGGCGAUGAUUCCAUAUGAGUCAAUUCAAUGAUGAUUCCAUAUGGCUCCGUUCGAUGAUAAUUCCAUUUGAUUUCAUUCGAUGCUUCUAUUCUAUUCCAGUCGAUGAUGAUUCCGUUGGAGUCCAUACGAUGAUUCCAUUUGAUUUCAUUUGAUGAUGAUUCCAUUCGAUUCC